CCCACAGAACACUGCUACACCUGCUGCCCUCUCUUCUGCCUACAUGUUCUCCCACACUCCUAGAAAAACUGGGAGAGGAGGGGGUACUGGCCUUUUAAUAUCUAGAAAUUGGUCCUUCACACCAAUGCCUCUGACACAUCUUAGCAUCUCUUCUUUCGAAUUCCAUGCAGUCUCAGUUUCUUCUCCUGUGAACAUCUUUCUCAUAGUCUUAUAUCGCCCUCCAGGGCCACUUGGGCCCUUUAUAGAUGAAUUGGACACUCUCCUCAGCACUUUCUCUUUAGAAACCCCCCUAACUCUCCUUGGUGACUUCAACCUUCCAUCAGCCCAGCUACAAUCAUCCUGCCUUCUUCCCCUUCUCCACUCUUUCUCCUUGACCAACAGCAACAUCUCUCCCACACACAAAGGAGGGAAUGUCUUGGACCUGCUCUUCAGUCGUCCUUCUCCAACUUCUGACCUUUCUUCCACUCCCCUUCACAUCUCUGACCUCCACUUCCUGACCUUUACACUCACUGUACCUACAGGAUCCACAACUGUCCCCCGUCCAUCCUUCAUUAGACAAAACCUUCACACUGUCUCACCUUCAUCUGUAUCCUCCUGCAUUCUUUCACAUCUCCCAACCUCUGACUCAUUCCUCUCCUUACCACUAGAGACCGCUACUAACUCUCUCCUCACCUCACUUUCCCUUUCCAUUGAUCAACUCUGUCCUCUAUCAACAAAACCCAAAAGGACUUCUCCCCCUGCGCCCUGGCUCUCCGAUACAUUGCGUAGCAAUCGAAGAGUUCUUCGAGCAGCGGAGAGAAAAUACAAGAAAUCUCAACUUGACUCAGACCUACUGGAUUACCAGAAUCUUCUGCGCAAAUUUUCUACUAACCUCACUACUGCUAAAACUGCUUUCUACAAAGCAAAACUAGAAGCCUCUGCCCACAACCCUCAAAAACUCCACAACAUCUUCUUAUCCCUACUCAACCCUCCGACUCCCCCUGCCCCAACUUCAUUAACAGCUGAUGAUUUUGCCAACUUCUUCACAGGGAAGAUUGAAAAAAUCUGUGAGACAUUCUCCACCAC
rnacentral:lncRNA from 1 species